rnacentral:lncRNA from 1 species
AAUCAAUUUCCCCCAAAUCAAUUCUCUCACUUGAAGUCGCCGUGGUCCUCAAAUCCAUUCUUGUAGUUCACGUGGUAUCCCAAAUGGGUCGGUUUCGAAAGUUGAAGAAACCAGAUGUCUCGGUGUUGUUAAAUGGGUCGUGGAUGGUUGCUGCUGGGGACUCUGGGACAAGGUUAAUGGUGGUUUCUUUGUUAGAGUUGGUCUUGGGUUCCGA